GCGUCUGCGGGAGAAGCUGGCUGUGGCCCAUGCUGAGCACACCCCAGCCCUCCCACCAGUUGGCCCAGCUGUCCUGCUCCCCAGCUCCCUGAAGUGGUUCAGAUGCAGCCUGAGUGUGAUCCGCCAAAGCUCCUGUGCUAGAGGCUCCGUCCCAGUGUGGUGGAGCCCAGCCUAGGGAAUAGAGUCCCGAGUGAAGGGCGUGAGUCCUGCCAAGAGCAGGCUGUUACAGAGCUGGUCCCUCACCUUCCGUCUUGCUGUGUGAUUGCUUGCUCCCUCCUGUGCCCCACUGUGGUGUCAUCUGCCAGACUGUGAUGUUGCUGGAGGCCUUCCCCAGAGCCAGCAGAUGCUGGUGCCAUGCUUUUGGACUCUUAAAACUGUGCUGAGUAAACCUCUUCUCUAUACAAGGGCUCAGGUUCAGUUGUUUUAAAAUUUUUUUUGUACCAGAAACUGAACUCAGGACAUCACACUAGCAAGGCAGGCACCGUGCCACUGACUACAUCUCCAGCCAUAAGGAAUGCUGGCUGCUCCCUGCGUGUUUUCCUCACCUGGACUGCAGUCUUCCCAGGCUCACCUGCCUCUCUGCACGCCUCCUUUCCUUUUUUCUGAAUGCUGAGGAUCCAGUGUGUCCCAGGGCCCAGUGUGUGCUAAGCACCCCCUCCCGCUCAGUGGCACUGCCAGCCCUCUGCUGCACAGAUAGCCUCCAAGUCCCCAGCCUCUUGUUAGGUUUGUGUCCGUGUGUCCCUCCAAGCCUCAUGCAGGCACGGAGGCGGCUAAACCUCGCGUUUGUGAUUGGCCCAUUGUCGAGCACUGGGACUGGCCGUGUGAGUGCGGCACUCGUGCAGAGGCGGGUAGCUGGCUUUCCCCUCUUUUCAUCCUUUUCACUCCUGUUGCUUGUGGCUGCCCCUCAGCCACACCACGCUGCACUGGAGCCAGCUGAGUAGGAACUGAAACCUCCAAAGACUGUAAGCUAAAUAAACCUUUCCUUUUUUCA